rnacentral:rRNA from 1 species
UACGUAGGAUCCAAGCGUUGUCCGGAUUUACUGGGGUGUAAAGGGUGCGCAGGCGGGCCGGUAAGUCAGGAGUGAAAUCUCGGCGCUUAACGCCGAAACUGCUUUUGAUACUGCCAGUCUUGAAUCAGCGAGAGACGUGUGGAAUUCCGAGUGUAGCAGUGAAAUGUGUAGAUAUUCGGAAGAACACCAGUGGCGAAGGCAGCACGUUGGCGCUCGAUUGACGCUCAGGCACGAAAGCAUGGGGAUCAAACAGG